GCAGAAGAACUUCUGUCUAGAAGGAAAAGCCCACAGAAACAUGGUAGCAGUCUUCUAAUACUUGAAGGGCUGACACAGCGGUGUGGAUUCUCUGUUGGAUGCUUAUCCUACGGUUGGAUAUUUUGGAAUACACUUUCCAGAAUUCUCUGCCAGUGACUAGGCUGACUACUAUUGAUGAGAGUCAAAGUUCAAUGUACUGUGAUGGCACCUGGCUGCAGAACCACAACUUCCAGGAGCACAGAAAGUUCUGCAGCUUCUCUACUGCUUUAAGUGAAACUUCAGAUUCUGGAGAGAACCCUAGGACA